rnacentral:tRNA from 1 species
GGUUCCAUAGUGUAGUGGUUAGCACAUCUGCUUUACAUGCAGAAGGUCCUGGUUCGCACCCCAGUGGGGCCA